CCGGCCGGGCGCGGCGCGGAGGAAGUGCCGUCUUCGCCGCUUCAGCUACUGGAGCCGCCUCAGGCGCGCCGCGGGUCGCCUCCGCCGCGCCGGCCGCGAUGUCUUCCCGGCCGGGGCGUGACGACGCGCGGGCCGGGGGCGCGCGGCGGCCGCGGGAGUCGGCGGAGCAGGAGCUGCAGCGGCGCCGAGAGCAGAAGCGGCGGCGACACGACGCGCAACAGCUGCAGCAGCUCAAGCACCUGGAGUCCUUUUAUGAAAAACCUCCUCCUGGGCUUAUCAAGGAAGAUGAGACUAAGCCGGAAGACUGUAUACCAGACGUACCAGGCAACGAACAUGCCAGGGAAUUUCUGGCUCACGCACCAACUAAAGGACUUUGGAUGCCCCUGGGGAAAGAAGUCAAAGUUAUGCAGUGUUGGCGUUGUAAACGGUAUGGUCACCGAACAGGCGACAAAGAAUGUCCUUUUUUUAUCAAAGGCAACCAAAAGUUAGAACAGUUCAGAGUAGCACAUGAAGAUCCCAUGUAUGACAUCAUACGAGAGAAUAAAAGACAUGAAAAGGAUGUAAGGAUACAGCAGUUAAAACAGUUACUGGAGGACUCCACCUCCGAUGAAGAUGGGAGCAGCUCCAGCUCCUCAGAAUGUAAAGAGAAACACAAGAAAAAGAAGAAGAAAGAAAAGCAUAAGAAAAGGAAAAAAGAAAAGAAGAAGAAGAAACGAAAGCAUAAGUCUUCCAAGUCGAAUGACAGUUCAGACUCAGACUGACGAGGACUGGACUUACUCCACAUUCUCCUCUCAAAAUCAGACACGGUGGCCCCAGACCAGUGGGGGUGGAAUCGGGGAGGACUCGGAGGCCCUGAGAGAGCAGGGCAUUCGGUGUCACGCGUUUGAAUUCUUACCUGCCUUCUGGUGAAGAUGUGCCCCCCGGAGGGGCUGUGAUAGGAUGGAAAAAACUGAUUCCUACACACUGAUGAGAAAUGACAGCAGAGGCAAAUGAGUCUUUAAGAAGACUAAAGCCUCAUAUUAGAGCUUGGAAAAACUAAGUAUUCACAGCUGCAGUUGGCCAAAUUACAGUUCUGGAAAAUGAGAUGCAUGUGAAGUCUGCUGAGUUGGGGGUAUGAGGUAUUUAUCUUGAGAAGGCUUCUACUUUUUGAAAAAACAAAAACAAACUUAGAUGGUUGAGGCCACUCCUUUCCCCAUCUUCCUGCCUUCAACAAAAGUCUGAAGCCUACAACUGCUACAGCCUUCCUGUAACUAGGAGAAACGUCAAGAGAAUCACAGAAAUUGUGCCUUUGCUGUUUCUGAGCUGUUGAAACCAGGGCAACUGUCUGCAGACUUAUGUGAACAAAUAAACCCUUAUUUAAGCCAUU